AUAGAUAAAUUUUAUAUGGUUUAAUUAAAUUUAUUUUGUAUUUAUUUUACAUAUAAAUUUUAGUAUGAGUAAUUCUUUAUUUUAAUAAUAUUAAUUAUGUUUGUAGUAAUUAAUAUUAAAUAUUUAGGAAAUUAAGAUUUAGUAAUAUAUAAAUUAUUAACAAAUUUUGUGCCAGCAGUUGCGGUUAUACAAAAAUUAAAUUAAAUUUUUUUAGUGAUUAAUAAUUAAUUUAAAAAUUUGUUUAAAUUAAAAUUAAAAUUAUUAGGUGAAAUUUUAAUUUUAUAUUAUUUUAUUUUUAUUAAUAUGAUUUAAUAAAUUUUAUUAAUAAACUAGGAUUAGAUACCCUAUUAUUAAAAAUUUAAAUUUAUAAUACUAAAAUAGUAUGUAAUUUUAUUGAAACUUAAAUAUUUUGGCGGUAUUUUAGUUUAUUUAGAGGAAUCUGUUUAUUAAUUGAUAUUCCACGAAUAAAUUUACUUAAUUUAUUAUUUUGUAUAUCGUUGUUAAAAAAAUAUUUUUUAAUAAUUUAUAUAAUAUUUUAAUAUUAAUAUUUAAAAUUAAAUCAAAUCAAGAUGCAGAUUAUAAUUAAGAAUAUAAUGGAUUACAAUAAAUUUAUUUAAAUGAAUUAUUAUUUUGUAAAAUUUAAUUGAAAGUGGAUUUAAAUGUAAUUUUGUUUAAUUUAAUAAAAUGAUUAAAAUUUAAAAUAUGUACAUAUUGCCCGUCGCUUUCAUAAAUAAAUUGGAAUAAGUCGUAACAAAGUAGAGGUACUGGAAAGUGUUUCUAGAAAGA
rnacentral:ncRNA from 1 species